rnacentral:tRNA from 1 species
GCGCCUGUAGCUCAGUGGCCAGGGCGCCAGCCACAUACACUGGGGCUGGUGGUUUAAAUCCAGCCAGGCCCU